rnacentral:rRNA from 1 species
CUCAGGACGAACGCUGGCGGCGUGCUUCAUACAUGCAAGUCGAACGAGAAUCUGACUCCGGUCAGAGGAAAGUGGCGGACGGGUGAGUAAUGUGUAGAGAAGUCUGCCCUUUAGUGGGGGACAACAGUUGGAAACGACUGCUAAUACCCCAUAUGCGCGUAGUUGAGAUGCUAUUCGUGAAAACUCCGGUGCUAAAGGAUGAGUCUGCAUCUGAUUAGCUAGUUGGCGGUGUAAUGGACCACCAAGGCGACGAUCAGUAGCUGGUUUGAGAGGAUGAUCAGCCACAAUGGGACUGAGACACGGCCCAUACUCCUACGGGAGGCAGCAGUAGGGAAUUUUGCGCAAUGGGGGAAACCCUGACGCAGCAACGCCGCGUGAUUGAAUAAGCCCUUCGGGGUGUAAAGAUCUGUCAGUGGGGACGAAACUUGACGGUACCCACAGAGGAAGCAUCGGCUAACUCCGUGCCAGCAGCGGC